CACAAAUUAAAAUACAAUGAUGUACAAACAAUACAUCUAAAAUAUAAUGAGUGUGUGUGUUAGUGUGUCUGUGUGUUAGUGUGUCUGUGUGUUAGUGUGUCUGUUAGUGUGUCUGUAUUAGAGUGUGUGUGUGUGUGUGUGUGUGUGUGUGUGUCUCUCCCCUUUGUUCCAUGAUGUUUAAUCUGUUUUUUUUAAAGGUAAUUCUUCUGUUUGCUGAGUAACUGGAAAUGGAAGGGAGUUCCAUGUGAUCAUGGCUCUGUAUAAUACUAGAUGACUCUGCUAAACCUCUGCUGAGAUACUCCUGAGAAGGCCAACCUCUGACGGUGGUGUUACACCACGAUUCAAACCAUCAAAUAGUUCAUUAGCAUCGUUAAUGAAAGGUUGUGGAAGUAACAACUCACCUUAAGCUUUGACUGAGUGCCGAGCGGAUGUUUUCGCUACAGCGCUUUGUUGUUGGUUCAUUACCUCGACUGCGCCUACUAGAGAUGCACUUGUCUUCACCUUUCCUCCGUACUAGUAGGUGCAGAACACAGAAUUUAAGGGAAUUCUUUAAUCCAUUUUUAAGUCAGUUUGCUUUUUAGUGAGAAACUGGGUACUGUCUGCUGAAGACAAGAUUCACAUGUAGUUUUACAUAUUUUUUUAGCUUAAUGUAAGUCUUGCAUUCCAAGCUCUUUGUGUAUCUUGUUUAGCGACAUUGACAUUUAUGUUUAGUACUUUAUUACAGCCACCUCUGGGGGAAAAAGGUGAACACAAACAUGUAAUAUCUGCAUUCAUCCUUACACUGUUUUCUAUAGCAUGGAGUUUAUCAACUACAGGGAGAAUUGUAGAAAAAUAUGCUUCAGAGAAAAACAGCUUUUUUGUUACAUAUCUCACAUGCAAUCAGUUGCUGCAAAGUGACAGAUUUGUAUAUCGGUCGAUCCAAAGAGAUGACAUAACAACAAACCUAUUUACUUAUUGUACAGGACAUUGUAUCUUUGAACUGUCAUGUGUUAUGUUGAAAUGAUUAAAAUACAAACCCA
rnacentral:lncRNA from 1 species